CCGCGGGUGGUGAGCCAGCUGGUGCAGGGUCUGUGCUGGCGCGUGGGACAUGGCCUACGGGAGAGCACAAGCCAUUGUAUCUGCUCGCAAGUUUAAAUUUCACAGGGAAAAAUUUUCGAGAAGAGUUCCAUCAAUGAGUCUUAGUGAAUAGACCUUUAAAUGUUGGAGGGAGGAGGAGGAACCCAAGAAGGCAGAGCCAAGAAAGAUAUUUUAAAGUAGCUCUUAAAAAAAACCAUAAAUCAUAAGAAGCCACAAUUGCCAGGACAUGGAAGCAACCUAGAUGCCCAUCAGCUGACGAAUGGAUAAGAAAGCUGUGGUACAUAUACACCAUGGAAUAUUACUCAGCCAUUAAAAAGAAUUCAUUUGAAUCAGUUCUAAUGAGAUGGAUGAAACUGGAGCCCAUUAUACAGAGUGAAGUAAGCCAGAAAGAUAAAGACCAAUACAGUAUACUAACGCAUAUAUAUGGAAUUUUAAAAAGAUGGUAACGAUAACCCUAUAUGCAAAACAGAAAAAGAGACACAGAUGUACAGAACAGACUUUGGGACUCUGG